rnacentral:rRNA from 1 species
UACGGAGGGUGCGAGCGUUGUCCGGAAUCAUUGGGCGUAAAGGGUGCGUAGGUGGCGUGGUAAGUCUGGUGUGAAAUCCCGGGGCUCAACCCCGGAACUGCACUGGAUACUGCCAUGCUUGAGUACUGGAGAGGAGAUUGGAAUUUACGGUGUAGCAGUGAAAUGCGUAGAUAUCGUAAGGAAGACCAGUGGCGAAGGCGAAUCUCUGGACAGUUACUGACACUGAGGCACGAAGGCCAGGGGAGCAAACGGG